AGUGAACGCUGGCGGUAGGCCUAACACAUGCAAGUCGAACGGCAGCACAGUAAGAGCUUGCUCUUACGGGUGGCGAGUGGCGGACGGGUGAGGAAUACAUCGGAAUCUACUUUUUCGUGGGGGAUAACGUAGGGAAACUUACGCUAAUACCGCAUACGACCUACGGGUGAAAGCAGGGGAUCUUCGGACCUUGCGCGAUUGAAUGAGCCGAUGUCGGAUUAGCUAGUUGGCGGGGUAAAGGCCCACCAAGGCGACGAGCCGUAGCUGGUCUGAGAGGAUGAUCAGCCACACUGGAACUGGAGCACGGUCCAGACUCCUACGGGAGGCAGCAGUGGGGAAUAUUGGACAAUGGGCGCAAGCCUGAUCCAGCCAUACCGCGUGGGUGAAGAAGGCCUUCGGGUUGUAAAGCCCUUUUGUUGGGAAAGAAAAGCAGCAGGUUAAUACCCCGCUGUUCUGACGGUACCCAAAGAAUAAGCACCGGCUAACUUCGUG
rnacentral:rRNA from 1 species